rnacentral:rRNA from 1 species
GAUGAACGCUGGCGGCGUGCCUAAUACAUGCAAGUCGAGCGAAGCGGGGAUGGGUGAGUAACACGUGGAUAACCUCCUAUAAGACUGGGAUAACUUCGGGAAACCGGAGCUAAAUCGGAUACUUAUAGAUGGUUCUGCGCUGCAUUAGUUAGUGGGUAAGGUAACGGCUUACCAAGGCAAGGAUGCAUAGCCGACCUGAGAGGAUGAUCGGCCACACGGGAACUGAGACACGGUCCAGACUCCUACGGGAGGCAGCAGUGGGGAAUCUUGCGCAAUGGGCGAAAGCCUGACGGAGCAACGCCGCGUGUGUGAUGAAGGUCUUCGGAUCGUAAAACUCUGUUAUUUGGGAAGCGGUACCUAAUCAGAAAGCCACGGCUAACUACGUGCCAGCAGCCGCGGUAAUAC